rnacentral:rRNA from 1 species
CCAGACUCCUACGGGAGGCAGCAGUGGGGAAUAUUGGACAAUGGGGGAAACCCUGAUCCAGCGACGCCGCGUGAGUGAAGAAGUAUUUCGGUACGUAAAGCUCUAUCAGCAGGAAAGAAAAUGACGGUACCUGACUAAGAAGCCCCGGCUAACUACGUGCCAGCAGCCGCGGUAAUACGUAGGGGGCAAGCGUUAUCCGGAUUUACUGGGUGUAAAGGGAGCGUAGGUGGUUUGACAAGUUAGUAGCGCAACUCCGGAGCUCAACUUCGGAACUACUACUAAAACUGUUGGACUUGAGUGCAGGAGGGGCAAUCGGAAUUCCUAGUGUAGCGGUGGAAUGCGUAGAUAUUAGGAGGAACACCAGUGGCGAAGGCGGAUUGCUAGACUGUAACUGACACUGAGGCACGAAAGCGUGGGGAGCAAACAGGAUUAGAUACCCUAGUAU